rnacentral:rRNA from 1 species
GACGAACGCUGGCGGCGUGCUUAAUACAUGCAAGUCAACUUGACUUUAGAUAGCAAUAUCGAAAAGUAGGGUGGCGCACGGGUGCGUAACGCGUAGGUAAUCUGCCCUGAGGUCUGACAUAACCCGUCGAAAGGCGGGCUAACAUCAGAUGAUAUAUAAUCACGACAUCGUGGAAAUAUCAAAUCUUCGGAGCCUUGGGAUGAGCCCUGCGUCUGAUUAGGUAGUUGGCGGAGUAAUAGCCCACCAAGCCUACGAUCAGUAGCUGGUCUGAGAGGAUGAUCAGCCACACUGGAACUGAGACACGGUCCAGACUCCUACGGGAGCAGCAGUAAGGAAUAUUGCUCAAUAGGGGGAAACCCUGAAGCAGCAAACGCCGCGUGAAGGAUG